GUACACGCUGUGACUAGCAUAUCAAUAAGCGGAGGAAAAGAAACUAACAAGGAUUCCCCUAGUAACGGCGAGUGAAGCGGGAAGAGCUCAAAUUUGAAAUCUUAAAGGGUUUCCCUUUACGAAUUGUAGUUUAAAGAAGUGUUUUCUGUUGAGGUUUUGGUAAAAGUUCUUUGGAAUAGGACAUCAUAGAGGGUGAGAAUCCCGUAUUUGACCUUUACUUUCAACUUUGUGAUACAGCUUUCAAAGAGUCGGAUUGUUUGGGAAUGCAGUCCAAAAUGGGUGGUAAAUUUCAUCUAAAGCUAAAUAUUGGCGAGAGACCGAUAGCGAACAAGUACCGUGAGGGAAAGAUGAAAAGAACUUUGAAAAGAGAGUUAAACAGUACGUGAAAUUGUCAAAAGGGAAGCGUUUGACACCAGUGUUGUCUUUCUGAAAAUCAAUUAAAGAACUGUUUAUGCUAAGCUGUUUAGACUUUAUCAGCUAUCUGUUUAGUUUUGAGCUUUUCUUUAAUGCACUUUUCAGUUAACAAGUCAACAUCAAUUUCUUUUGCUGUAAAAAAGCUUGAGGAAGGUGGCUUGAGAUUCGUCUUAAGUGUUUAUAGCCUCUUGCCUAUGCAGUCGGAGAGAUUGAGGUCUGCAGCGUAGAUCCUUCGGGGCUAAAUGCAUUUGUGCUAAGUUAUAGCAUUUUAUAGACAACUUGUUGACUAUGAUUUGUCUUGUAGCUUACUCGCUUAUGUUAUUUUACCUACGCUUAGGAUGUUGAUAUGCAUGACUGAUAU
rnacentral:rRNA from 1 species